AGACCCGAAACCCGGUGAUCUAGCCAUGGGCAGGUUGAAGGUUGGGUAACACUAACUGGAGGACCGAACCGACUAAUGUUGAAAAAUUAGCGGAUGACCUGUGGCUGGGGGUGAAAGGCCAAUCAAACCGGGAGAUAGCUGGUUCUCCCCGAAAGCUAUUUAGGUAGCGCCUCGUGAAUUCAUCUCCGGGGGUAGAGCACUGUUUCGGCUAGGGGGCCAUCCCGGCUUACCAACCCGAUGCAAACUGCGAAUACCGGAGAAUGUUAUCACGGGAGACACACGGCGGGUGCUAACGUCCGUCGUGAAGAGGGAAACAACCCAGACCGCCAGCUAAGGUCCCAAAGUCAUGGUUAAGUGGGAAACGAUGUGGGAAGGCCCAGACAGCCAGGAUGUUGGCUUAGAAGCAGCCAUCAUUUAAAGAAAGCGUAAUAGCUCACUGGUCGAGUCGGCCUGCGCGGAAGAUGUAACGGGGCUAAACCAUGCACCGAAGCUGCGGCAGCGAACGUAUCACCCAAGACAACUUUACGGAGUUGACGAUUGACGGAGCGAAGCGACGUCAAAGCGUUCAUUAAAGUCGAGUUGGCUUAGGGAUACGUUCGUUGGGUAGGGGAGCGUUCUGUAAGCCUGUGAAGGUGUGUCGUGAGGCAUGCUGGAGGUAUCAGAAGUGCGAAUGCUGACAUAAGUAACGAUAAAGCGGGUGAAAAGCCCGCUCGCCGGAAGACCAAGGGUUCCUGUCCAACGUUAAUCGGGGCAGGGUGAGUCGACCCCUAAGGCGAGGCCGAAAGGCGUAGUCGAUGGGAAACGGGUUAAUAU
rnacentral:rRNA from 1 species